rnacentral:rRNA from 1 species
UGUGAAUGAAAGUAGAGCAGCCUAUAAAAAUAUCAGAAUAUAUAUGUGAUGUAUAUAUAGUAAUCUUUUUUAAACAUAAAGUAGUAUUAGAAUAAAUUAUUUGGUUUAAAACCAAACAAAUAUUAGAUUGAUUUUUAUUAUAAUAUUACUAGUAUUAUUAUUACUUGGAUUAUAUCCAUCAAGAAAAGAUAAGAAAUUAGGGGUUCAAAAAACCCCUAGUAACAAAAAUCUUUGGGUUCAGAAAACCCAUAAAAUCGAGAUAUAUAAAAGAAAAUUAUCCACUGAUAUAUUAAAAAAGUAAAACGGGCAAAACCUGUUUGAAUAUAUAGGGGAACCUUCCUCUAAGGCUAAAUAUGAUAUAUGAGCGACAGCGUAUAGUUGUUUGAGAGAAAGGUUUGAAAUAGUAGUCUUAUAAGCAGCUCGAGUGAAAUUUUAUAAAUAAUUAGAGCGUACCUUUUGCAUAAUGGGUCAGCAAGUUAAUAUUAGAUGCGAGCAUGUGUAAAAUGUGCCCAGAUAAACCAAUUAUGAAAUAAUGAAUUAGUAUCUAAAAUUAGACCCGAAGCCUGGUGAUCUUACUACAGUCAGGGUUAUAAAAGCCCGAACGGUUUAUCGUUGUAAAGAUAUCCGAAGAACUGUGGUAAGUUAGUGAAAGACAAAACUGACUAGGAUAGCUGGUUUUCUGCGAAACCUAUAUAAGUAGGUAAUUCAAGUUACAUCAUAGCAGGUACAGAACUGUGAUCUCAGGCAACUUAUAUCUUCUUAUUUUACAUCUCCAAAAUAAAAGGUAAUUUUGCAUAUAUCGGGCAAUCGUGAAGAUUUUAUCGGUGAGUAUUCGCACUCGGAAGGGCAAUGAUGAAUCUUGAAUAAUCGGACAUAGUACGAUAAGGUUGUAUGUCUAAAGGGAAACAGCCCAGAACAAGAGUUAAGGUUCCAAAAUUAUUGUUAAGUGAAAUUAAGGAAGUUUCUAUCUAAUACGACUAGGAAAUAGGCUUAGAAGCGGUCCAUUUUUUGAAGAUCUCGUAACAGAGCACUGGUUUAGUAAUUUAUUUUACAUUGAUAGUUGCACCGAAGAUUUAACGGAUCUAAACAAUAUACCGACACCUUGUCCAUAUUUAUUAAUAAUUUUUAGUUAUUAUAUUUUAUGGGGUAGCAGAACGUUGGGUAAAUCUAAGACUUAUUCUUUUUAAGAAUAAAUAUAUGAUAACCCGAGUGAGAAUGCUGACAUGAGUAACGAAAAAGGGAUAUACCCUCGCCUAAAGCUUAUGGUUUUUGUAAAGUAACGGCCUCUAAGUUUACCAACCUAAAGGAUUAAACGAUGAGCAAAUCUUUGUUAUAAAGUAACAACCUUCUCUUAAAAAUCAAAUAACUAAAGUGGAGAAGGUUCUGGAAAAACAAUAACGGUCGAACCGAAUUAUUUCAAUAAACUAAAAAGAUGAGCAAUAAUUAAUUCUAUUAAAAAAAAAAACAAACAAGCACAAAAUAUAAAAAUUUAUAAAAGCACAAAUAAUAGAUAGACUAGACAAACCGUACCUAAAGACUAACCCAAGUAAGCUAGUAGAGAAUACGAAGGCGUUUGAGCUAACAAUCAUUAAGGAACUCGGCAAACUAACUACCGUAACUUCGGGAUAAGGAGAGCCAUUCCUCCUGACUAAUAUCAGGUAAAGAAUAGGAAGCAUGGAAUAGUGUUGUACGACUGUUUAAUUAAAACAAAGCACUCUGCAGUAAGAUAAUAAAUCAAAGUAUUGAGUGUGAAUUCUGCCCGAUGUCGGCUGGUUAACGGAUUUGCUAAGUUGACUAAUAUAAAUUUGGCUUUGAAGGAAACCCCGAUCAAUGGCGGCCUUAACUAUAAGGGUCCUAAGGUAGCGGAAUACCUUGGCCGUUAAAUGCGGUCUUGCAUGAAUGAUUUAACGAUACAACA